UACAGAGGUCCCAAGCGUUGUUCGGAUUUACUGGGCGUAGAGGGUGCGUAGGUGGUUGGGUAAGUCUGAUGUGAAAUCUCCGGGCUUAACCCGGAAAUGGCAUUGGAUACUAUUCGACUAGAGGGUUGGAGGGGGGACUGGAAUACUUGGUGUAGCAGUGAAAUGCGUAGAUAUCAAGAGGAACACCAGUGGCGAAGGCGAGUCCCUGGACAAUACCUGACACUGAGGCACGAAAGCCAAGGGAGCAAACAGG
rnacentral:rRNA from 1 species